UACAGAGGUCUCAAGCGUUGUCCGGAAUCAUUGGCGUAAAGCGCGCGUAGGCGGCCGGUAAGUCCGCUGUAAAGUCAAAGGCUCAACCUUGAAUGUCAGUGGAUACUGCCGGCUAGAGUCCGGAAGAGGCGAGUGGAACUCCUGGUGUAGCGGUGGAAUGCGCAGAUAUCAGGAAGAACACCGACGGCGAAGGCAGCUCGCUGGGACGGUACUGACGCUGAGGCGCGAAAGCGUGGGGAGCGAACAGG
rnacentral:rRNA from 1 species